CGCUUAGAUGUUCUGGGCCGCACACGCGCUACACUGAAGGAGGCAGCGUGUACUCCUGGAUCGAAAGAUUUGGGUAACCCGCGAAUCUCCUUCGUGCUAGGGAUUGAGGUUUGCAAUUAUCCUUCAUGAACGAGGAAUUCCCAGUAAGUGCAAGUCAUAAGCUUGCGCUGACUACGUCCCUGCCCUUUGUACACACCGCCCGUCGCUACUACCGAUUGAAUGAUUUAGUGAGGACUUCGGACUGGGACCGAUGCGGCUUUCGGGCUGCGUCGGUAUUCUGGAAAGAUGUCCAAACUGUAUCAUUUAGAGGAAGUAAAAGUCGUAACA
rnacentral:rRNA from 1 species